rnacentral:rRNA from 1 species
ACAGCCUACGGGGCGCAGCAGUGAGGAAUAUUGGUCAAUGGGCGAGAGCCUGAACCAGCCAAGUCGCGUGAGGGAAGACGGUCCUAUGGAUUGUAAACCUCUUUUGCCGGGGAGUAAAAAGCGGUACGUGUAGCGUUAUCGAGAGUACCUGAAGAAAAAGCAUCGGCUAACUCCGUGCCAGCAGCCGCGGUAAUACGGAGGAUGCGAGCGUUAUCCGGAUUUAUUGGGUUUAAAGGGUGCGUAGGCGGAAUGCCAAGUCAGCGGUAAAAUCGUGGAGCUCAACUCCAUCCAGCCGUUGAAACUGA